rnacentral:rRNA from 1 species
AAUCAACGCUGGCGGCGUGCCUCAGACAUGCAAGUCGAACGAUUAAAGCUCUCUUCGGAGAGUGCAUAGAGUGGCGCACGGGUGAGUAACACGUAAGUAAUCUACCCUCGAGUGGGGAAUAACGUCCGGAAACGGACGCUAAUACCGCAUAAUGCAGCGGCACCGCAAGGUGACAGUUGUUAAAGAUUUAUCGCGUGAGGAGGAGCUUGCGGCAGAUUAGCUAGUUGGUAAGGUAAUGGCUUACCAAGGCUACGAUCUGUAACCGGUCUAAGAGGACGGUCGGUCACACUGACACUGAAUAACGGGUCAGACUCCUACGGGAGGCAGCAGUCGGGAAUUUUGGGCAAUGGGCGAAAGCCUGACCCAGCAACGCCGCGUGAAGGAUGAAGUAUUUCGGUAUGUAAACUUCGAAAGAAUAGGAAGAAUUAAUGACGGUACUAUUUAUAAGGUUCGGCUAACUACGUGCCAGCCGCCGCUGUAACAC